rnacentral:rRNA from 1 species
GACGGAGGGUGCUAGCGUUGUUCGGAAUUACUGGGCGUAAAGGGCGCGUAGGCGGCUGCUCAAGUCGGGUGUGAAAGCCCGGGGCUCAACCCCGGAACGGCACCCGAGACUGGGCGGCUCGAGACCGGGAGAGGAGGGUGGAAUACCCAGUGUAGAGGUGAAAUUCGUAGAUAUCGGGAGGAACACCGGUGGCGAAGGCGGCGACCUGGGUAGAUACUGACGCUGAGGCGCGAAAGCGUGGGGAGCAAACAGG